AAUAAUAUAGGGGGUAAACCGAUAUUCGCUAACAUUGUAGAACAUUUUUUAAUUUUUUUUAAAUAUAUAUUUUUUUCAUUUUUUUAUUACAUAAAUUUAUUUAUUUUUAUUACGAGGGGAUAAAUCAAAGUUCACUCACUUUACAGGGGAUAAAAUAUAAUCUUGUUGUUUUCGAUAGUAAAACAUUGACAAAAUACUAGUUUUUG
rnacentral:lncRNA from 1 species